AAACGAGACCCUGUUGCAAAGUCGCUAUCACUGUAUGUUUCAUGAUCUUCAUGUUCUGAGUCUGAGUGAGAUGAUGAGCUAUCACUCGAGUCAAGGGAAGUUUUGUACAACUCAAGAAUAUCACAUCUACAUUCAUUACAUGGGGUAUUGCAUGUCCAUGAGUCUCUGCAGUCACAGAGACACUUGCAAGAUAUGGCACAGUUGUCCAUAGCACUCAUGACUUCAGUAAGCUCAACUCGUCGACAUACGUUGGUUCUGACAUACUGUUUCAUUUCAUCCGAAAUAUUCCGCCUGCCACUGAGACAUUGUCUAAAUUUCAUGAGAAGAGCAUGUGCCUGCUUUUCUGGAUCCCUGCCUGCUCCGUCCUUGUCUCUUGAAUAUAAUCCUCAACAUUAUUGGCUGGACCAUAGUGGAUGACGGUUUCCACACUUUCUUAGCAUUGUGUAUACACAACGUAAUUAACGGAUUCUGACAUCAGCCACAUAUCUCGGACCACCCCACGAGUCUCUCUUAACCGUUCAAUUAACGUUCCGCUUGGUGUUGCCACACCUGUCCGCCAUCUGCUGUUGAGAUACUGUAACGGUUCUCGUCUGAAAAGAGGACUUCCCCCACUGCUGGUGCUGUGCUACCCACUGAAGACGGUCCAGGAAACAAAGAAGAAGACUGAAAGGAUACCACUGGGAGUGCUUCAGUGAGGACCUCAGUGACCGUUCUCCAUCACAGUAGGUGCUCAGCGGAGGGGACUACCUCACCCUUGAGAGGCAGAAACAAGCCAAUCAUGCACUUACGAGAUGGACCUACACCAAGUUCCAGAUUACAAGGACUUGUUCCAAAGAUGGAAGAGUUCCAUAACGAAGCUGAAUUUCUAAAGGUUAUAUGGAAACACUUGUACUCGUCCUCCUCUAACAAGUCUGUUUGGCACUCUGCAUGCUGCAAAGGAGCACAAUAAAUGCGGUGAAUGUUACUCAGGAUCCUCAUGACAACUUUUACCCAUGCUCUGAAUUCAUGGACAAGGUCACCACCGCCUACAUCGUAACUGGGGGACUACAUUACUUCCAAAUGGAACACCUCACUUCUGUCCCAACGUCAAGUUACAUGGGUGCUGUUGGCAAUCCAUAUAAAAUGAUUGAUUAUUUUCUAGGUCAUGCAGCAAAACAGUUUGUAGACAAGCACGUCUUACCGGAGGUUCCUCAACAGCCAGGUCAUGGUCUCCAAAUCAAACACACUAGCCUGCAGGUACUGUGGAAAACUGUACCAGAGACCAAAAGCUCUCCGCAAACACGAAGCAUCCGGAAUAUAAUGCUGAAAACAAUCAGGAUUCCACAUCUUCAGCAGAAUCAAGAUCAUCUUUUUAUCAGUACACCCGUCUGUCUCUCGAAUAAAUCACAACGAUUCCAUUCACAUGGGAGAUGGUGGCAGGCAUGAUGAGACUAGUAAAGUGGUUCUGUUUAUACUACAAGGCAAGCAAAUGUCCAAAGUAUGCAUAUGGUCUCCUUUGAAACACAGGCAAAGGCAUAUGCUCUCCUAUAUGAACGGCAGGCUUUAUAGAUUGAUAUGGAACCGCACAGUCAACCAUCAAGGCAGAGAAGACACCAAUCAUCCCAUCGACCUUGACUUGGAGCAUUGCAACAGGGCUUUCAAAGAUGAUGUACACACAUACAAGGGGAGGUACACAGAUAAAAGACGAUUCUCAAAGUCAGCAGAAGUGCGCUGUCAAUGGAAGAAUUAUGCCAAAAAUACGACAAAUUGGCAUUCCGCAAGAAAAGUUCGGGAAGGCAUGGAGUUGUUGAUCCUUCUUGGUGAUAUUCUUAAACUUGUAGAACAAUUCCAUUCC